rnacentral:sRNA from 1 species
UUUUUUUUAAGAGUGUUCAAUCAAACUAUACUGACAUAAUCUAAUCCAAACCGAGUCAAAAUAAUCAAUCUAAAAGCCGAACCAUAUAU